GGUAGCAUUCCUCUUCAACGUCGUCAAUCACGCACCAACAUGUGAACACGUGACCGACGUCGUUUUUAGAGAAGCGAGAACGCUUAUUUGGGGCAAAAACAAGGCCAUAACGGCCCCAUACCCACAUAAGGUUCCAUAUCCGAGAGACCAAGCAACGCUCCAUGGGCCAUGAAACCAACCCUUAUGCACCAGUAGCAUGGAUCACAGAGAAUACUUCAAGGUUCAACCCGCGCCACAAGAGCAGCGCGCAAUGAACAAGGACACUGUUACGGCGAUACAAUUCCUUCAUAUAGGUAUGCAACACAGAGAUCCCACGCAGUGCUCAAGGCAAAAAUAUGCCUUGAACUCAAUUGAAAAGGUAUGCCA
rnacentral:misc_RNA from 1 species